GACGAACGCUGGCGGCGUGCUUAACACAUGCAAGUCGAACGAAGAUCUAGCUUGCUAGAUCUUAGUGGCGAACGGGUGAGUAAUACAUAAAUAAUCUGCCCAUAUGACUGGGAUAACUAUUGGAAACGAUAGCUAAUACCGGAUAGGUUAAUCGGAGGCAUCUCUGAUGAAUUAAAGUAGGAUUUCUACACAAAUGGAUGAGUUUAUGGCGCAUUAGUUAGUUGGUGGGGUAACGGCCUACCAAGACGAUGAUGCGUAGCCGACCUGAGAGGGUGACCGGCCACACUGGGACUGAGACACGGCCCAGACUCCUACGGGAGGCAGCAGUAGGGAAUUUUCGGCAAUGGGCGCAAGCCUGACCGAGCAACGCCGCGUGAGUGAUUAAGGCCUUCGGGUUGUAAAGCUCUGUUGUAAGGGAAGAACAUUCAGGAUAGGAAAUGAUCUUGAACUGACGGUACCUUACCAGAAAGCCACGGCUAACUACGUGCCAGCAGCCGCGGUAA
rnacentral:rRNA from 1 species